rnacentral:rRNA from 1 species
AGACCCGAAACCCGGUGAUCUAGCCAUGGGCAGGUUGAAGGUUGGGUAACACUAACUGGAGGACCGAACCGACUAAUGUUGAAAAAUUAGCGGAUGACCUGUGGCUGGGGGUGAAAGGCCAAUCAAACCGGGAGAUAGCUGGUUCUCCCCGAAAGCUAUUUAGGUAGCGCCUCGUGAAUUCAUCUCCGGGGGUAGAGCACUGUUUCGGCUAGGGGGCCAUCCCGGCUUACCAACCCGAUGCAAACUGCGAAUACCGGAGAAUGUUAUCACGGGAGACACACGGCGGGUGCUAACGUCCGUCGUGAAGAGGGAAACAACCCAGACCGCCAGCUAAGGUCCCAAAGUCAUGGUUAAGUGGGAAACGAUGUGGGAAGGCCCAGACAGCCAGGAUGUUGGCUUAGAAGCAGCCAUCAUUUAAAGAAAGCGUAAUAGCUCACUGGUCGAGUCGGCCUGCGCGGAAGAUGUAACGGGGCUAAACCAUGCACCGAAGCUGCGGCAGCGACGCUUAUGCGUUGUUGGGUAGGGGAGCGUUCUGUAAGCCUGCGAAGGUGGCCUGUGAGGGUUGCUGGAGGUAUCAGAAGUGCGAAUGCUGACAUAAGUAACGAUAAAGCGGGUGAAAAGCCCGCUCG